UACGUAGGGGGCAAGCGUUGUCCGGAAUUAUUGGGCGUAAAGCGCACGUAGGCGGUCGGCUAUGUCGGAUGUGAAAGCCUCGGGCUUAACCCGAGAAGGGCAUCCGAAACUGGCCGGCUUGAGUACGGAAGAGGGUCUCGGAAUUCCCGGUGUAGAGGUGAAAUUCGUAGAUAUCGGGAGGAACACCAGUGGCGAAGGCGGAGACCUGGGCCGAUACUGACGCUGAGGUGCGAAAGCGUGGGGAGCAAACAGG
rnacentral:rRNA from 1 species